rnacentral:rRNA from 1 species
ACGAACGCUGGCGGCGUGCUUAACACAUGCCAGUCGCACGGAAAGGCCCUGCUUUUGUGGGGUGCUCGAGUGGCGAACGGGUGAGUAACACGUGAGUAACCUGCCCUUGACUUUGGGAUAACUUCAGGAAACUGGGGCUAAUACCGGAUAGGAGCUCCUGCUGCAUGGUGGGGGUUGGAAAGUUUCGGCGGUUGGGGAUGGACUCGCGGCUUAUCAGCUUGUUGGUGGGGUAGUGGCUUACCAAGGCUUUGACGGGUAGCCGGCCUGAGAGGGUGACCGGCCACAUUGGGACUGAGAUACGGCCCAGACUCCUACGGGAGGCAGCAGUGGGGAAUAUUGCACAAUGGGCGGAAGCCUGAUGCAGCAACGCCGCGUGCGGGAUGACGGCCUUCGGGUUGUAAACCGCUUUCGCCUGUGACGAAGCGUGAGUGACGGUAAUGGGUAAAGAAGCACCGGCCAACUACGUG